rnacentral:lncRNA from 1 species
UGGGGCCAAGGACAAGGGAGGAUAAAUAUGGACGAGAAGCUAUAAACCAAAAGGAAUAGAGGAGCAAUGGGGAACAAGUGAAGACACAGUCAAAUCACACCCAAAACCUUCUAAUUCAAUCCUCUUCUUGACUCCAUUAUUCACAAAACUUUUUUUUUUCAUUUUUCUGUAUUUUUUUUUUUUCAUCUUGUCUCUUUUCUUUUCUCUUUUUUUUUAGAAUACAAAUUUCAAGAGACAAGAUACACCCUAUUU